rnacentral:misc_RNA from 1 species
AAAAAAGCUUCGCUUUCAUUUUAAAAGCCUCAGAGAGGAGGUCCUUCCUCCUCACCUCACCUGUUACUGCUACUUCUAGUCUAUGUUAUGGAGAGUCCAGAUUUUUCACCACUACCCCACGUGGACGCAUCUCGGCCGUCCAUUGGCUUCCCUAUUGGUACUGCCUUGCUCUUGAUUAUCGUCUUCACCUUGAGUUGUAUUUUCUCCUGCUGCUACCACUGGGACAAGCUCAGAUCAAACCGUCGCACUUCUUCCGACGACCCUGAUCCCGAGGUUGACAUCGAGGCUUCACCUACCAAAUCUCACACGGAUUUGAAGCAAAAUGAAAGCCAAAGCUUACCAGUAAUAAUGCCUGGAGAUCAGAUCCCGAAAUUUAUCGCAUUGCCAUGUCCGUGUGAGUCGACUCGAGCUGAGGAAGUAAUCGUCACGGUGCACAGACCGCCGUCGCCUAAACCGCCGCGAGUGCCGGUGCCUAUGUUUUAGGUUGGCGACGCUUUCAACAUCCUCGGCUUUUUUGGCACUAGUUUUUCACCUUCCAAUUUUAACCAUUUUGAGCUAUUAAGAGAAUUCCCAGACUAGCUCCGCCAGAAUUUAUCCAGAUCAUACUCAAUGACACAUCAAUGGGCAUUUCACAACAGAGGGCCGUCUUCAUACUAAUAUGUAGAAGUUGAAAGAGUGAUAAGAAAUUGGAUUGGCAUAACAUUUUUUCUUUAUGCCUUUGGUUAUUCUUGUGUGUACAAAUACGUUAUAAUCUUCAUGAUAAUUCACUUGCAACGCAAAGGACCAAAUUGGGAAUUCAGUGCAGGGUCCACAGAAGUGGUACCACAAAGACGGGUCUACCUCUUUCAUCGCCUAAUUUCACUGUUUCAGAGGUGCUUUUCCUUCCCUAGCUACCCCGGUACAACGGCUUUUGUACUCUUUCCGUGAUGAUUUUC